CAAUCUUGUCUGAACUCAAGAGUUAGUU
rnacentral:piRNA from 1 species